GACUCCAUGUGUCCAGACUGAGGACUGAAGACUCUGGUCUGUAUCUGUGUGACGUGAAAACUGAAGAUGGAUUCAACUCUGGAAGAUGUCGACUCAACGUUACUGCAGCUGCUGAUCAGAUCCAAACUCAGAGACCAACUUUGACUCCAGAACCAGAGACGAUGAAGGAGCAUCAUCUUCAUCAUUCUGGGAUCAAUAGCAGCUCUAAUUAAAAGUUGAUUUUGUGUUUCAGGAAGAGAAGAGAGGGAAACAAAUAUAACCUUUCAACAAAUGUAGUUUGAAAAUAUAAUGCAGAUAAAAGUUUUGUUCAUUUGAGUUUAGUUGAUUAUUGAUUUUGUCGCCACAGAAACAUCAGGUUAGAUUUAAUUAAACUAUUGAAUAAAAUGUUAGAUUGUAAUGAAUUAAUAUAUUCUAAUAAUGAUGAUCAGUUUAUUGUUAUUGUUUCAGUUUCCUGCUUUAAAUCAUUUCUAAAUGUUUUCUGACUUGGACGUAUUGAUCAGUUAUUGAUGGAUCAGCUGAUUGUUACUGAUAAAGUGAUUUAUUAUUUUCACAGGUAUAUUUUAAUAAAUAUUUUUAUAAAUAUGUUAUGAAGAAAAAACACAAUGAAGACUUUGAGUGUUAUAAAGGUCAAUAUUUCAUUGCUUUCAAGUGAUGAUUUUUAUACUUAUAAUACAUUUUAAAGAUGAACAUGAAACAUUAAAGGUGUUUUUUAAUGUAGAUUUUCACCACCAUUGUUUGUUUUUGUAGAAAGUUUAUGAAUGUAAAUGUUGGGGUUUCAUUUCAGAACCGUUAAUUCUUCAACAUGUCCAAAGUU